rnacentral:lncRNA from 1 species
AUCCCGUACCUCGUUCUUUCUUGUUCGCUCGGCUUCCAAUUAUUAAAUGAUAAUAAUGGGAAGUUGGGAAACUCCUUCUCCAGAACUGGCUUUAUUACCGGUUGACUCCCUUCAGGAAUUACCUUCUUCUUUCCCUUAUCUCUUUCUUCUUCUAAUAGUGGGAAUAAAGGGAUGAUUGGUUCGUUUCUUGUGAUAAUCUGGCUCAUCCCACUUCCUUGAACCCCUUUUGGAGUAGAGAACUCUAAAUCAAGCAUUCUCUGUAGAUUCCCUGUU